rnacentral:pre_miRNA from 1 species
UGAUGAUGCUGCUGAUGGUGGUGGGGAUGGUGAUGAUGAUGCUGAUGAUGAUUUUCUCCCAUCUCACUUCCAGCACCACCAACACCACCAGCC